rnacentral:rRNA from 1 species
AUGGCUUCCAAUGCGAGCUUGUUGGCCGUGAUCAUGGCGUGCACGCUCCUCAGUGGAAGCCACGGUGCACGACACUUGGCCGACACCACCCCGGCGGCUGCCCCACCCGCUGCGGCUACUGUCCCUGGCCUCCCGGCCGUGCCUACCAUGCCGACCCUACCACCGAUGUCGGCUAUGCCAACGGUUCCGGUCGUGACAGUGCCAGCUAUGCCGACGCUGCCCACAGUGACCGUGCCGCAGGUGACACUGCCUCCUAUGCCUGCUGUUCCUUCUGUGCCCAAGGUGACCAUGCCUCCGAUGCCCGCCAUCGUCGUGCCCAAGGUGACCAUGGCGCCGAUGCCCGCCGUCACUGUACCUAAGGUGACGGUGCCACCGAUGCCCGCCAUUCCUUCCAUGCCCAAGGUGACACUGCCGCCGAUGCCUUCUAUCCCAACCGUCAACGUGCCUAUGCCAUUCCUGGCGCCGCCUCCAUCAGCAUAG